rnacentral:tRNA from 1 species
GCGGACGUCACCAAGUGGUUAAGGUAGUGGAUUGUGAAUCCACCACGCGCGGGUUCGAACCCCGUCGUUCGCC